rnacentral:tRNA from 1 species
GGGUCGUUAGCUCAGCUGGUAGAGCAGUGGACUCUUAAUCCAUUGGUCGAGUGUUCGAAUCACUCACGGCCCACCA